UGGGGAAUAUUGGACAAUGGGCGAAAGCCUGAUCCAGCAAUGCCGCGUGAGUGAUGAAGGCCCUAGGGUUGUAAAGCUCUUUACCCGGGAUGAUAAUGACAGUACCGGGAGAAUAAGCCCCGGCUAACUUCGUGCCAGCAGCCGCGGUAAGACGAAGGGGGCAAGCGUUGUUCGGAAUUACUGGGCGUAAAGGGCGCGUAGGCGGCCAUUUUAGUCAGGCGUGAAAGCCCUGGGCUCAACCUGGGAGGUGCGCUUGAUACUGGAUGGCUGGAGUGUGGGAGAGGAUAGUGGAAUUCCCAGUGUAGAGGUGAAAUUCGUAGAUAUUCGCAAGAACACCAGUGGCGAAGGCGGCUUACUGGUCCGGUUCUGACGCUGAGGCGCGAAAGCGUGGGGAGCAAACAGGAUUAGAUACCC
rnacentral:rRNA from 1 species